UCCUUUCCUCCUUCUCCUCUCCUUCCCAUCCUCCUCCUCCCCUCCUCUUCUCCUUCUCCUCCUCUUCUUCUCUUCCUUCGAUUUAUUUCUUUAUUUUACGUAUAUGAGUACACACUGCAGCUGUACAGAUAUUUGUGAGCCUUCAUCUUGUUGUUGGGAAUUGAAUUUAGGACCUCUGCCCACUCUGGUCAACCCCGCUCGCUCUGGUAGACCCUGCUUGCUGGCCCCGAACUUAGAGAUCUGCCUGCCUCUGCCUUCCCAGGACAGGUGCCACCAUGCCUGUGCUCCCUGUGAGUUUUCAAUGUUUAUGGCCCAAGGAAUUUGCAGUUUGAGUUUCCUCAGUGUUCCGAAGGUCCUGAUCUCUGUUAAGGAUUUAAUGAGAUGGUUGGUGGGGGGGAGACAUCAAACGUGGGGUGACCUGGCUAAGGUCCCCGCCCCCCAUCAUCUGUCUUCACAUUUCAGCCACCAGACAACCCCUUGUUGCUGGUUCUGUGAGCGGGAAAACGCUGAGAAAUCUGUGUUUUGGGGGGGCUGCUCAUCUGCUGGUUGUUUUGGGAAUGGCUGUCCCCUCUCCAUUCAGAUCUCACCUUCUAGGUGGCUUUUUACUCCAUGUGGAUAGAGAUGAAGGUGACCAGCCCUGGGACCCAGUCCCAGUUUGGCUGCUUUGAGUUCUUUGGGCAAGCCAUCUGACCCAUCUGAGCCUUACUAUAAUGGAUUUAUUUCUAUGACAACUGGCUCUGGGAUGAGAUAUCCCAGUUGCUCUUCUCUAGGCUGAAGGGUGGGAGUGGAGAAGAAGGAACCUCCUUGGUACUGAUAACCCUCAUUCCUCCUGCUGGGGGCGUGGGCUGGCGUUUUGGAAGCCUCCAAGAUGAAGCCCUCUCCCCUCUCUCCUAGCUGGGACAGCUGGGG
ensembl:processed_transcript Gm20394 predicted gene 20394